GUAGUCUCGCACAGAUGCAUAUCAAUAAGCGGAGGAAAAGGAACUAACAAGGAUUCCCUAGUAACGGCGAGUGAAGCGGGAAGAGCUCAAAUUUGAAAUCUUAAAGGUUUUCCCUUGACGAAUUGUAGUUUAAAGAAGUGUUUUCUGUUGAAGGUCUUGGUAAAAGUUCUUUGGAAUAGGACAUCAUAGAGGGUGAGAAUCCCGUAUUUGACCUUUACUUUCAACUUUGUGAUACACUUUCAAAGAGUCGGAUUGUUUGGGAAUGCAGUCCAAAAUGGGUGGUAAAUUUCAUCUAAAGCUAAAUAUUGGCGAGAGACCGAUAGCGAACAAGUACCGUGAGGGAAAGAUGAAAAGAACUUUGAAAAGAGAGUUAAACAGUACGUGAAAUUGUCAAAAGGGAAGCGUUUGACACCAGUGUUGUUUUUCUGAAAAUCAAUUAAAGAACUGUUUAUGCUAAGUUGUUUAGACUUUAUCAGCUAACUGUUUAGUUUUGAGCUUUUCUUUAAUGCACUUUUCAGUUAACAAGUCAACAUCAAUUUCUUUUGCUGUAAAAAAGCUUGAGGAAGGUGGCUUGAGAUUCGUCUUAAGUGUUUAUAGCCUCUUGCCUAUGCAGUCGGAGAGAUUGAGGCCUGCAGCGUAGAUCCUUCGGGGCUAAAUGCAUUUGUGCUAAGUUAUAGCACUUUAUAGACAACUUGUUGACUAUGAUUUGUCUUGUAGCUUACUCGCUUAUGUUAUUUUACCUACGCUUAGGAUGUUGAUGUGAUACUGCGAGC
rnacentral:rRNA from 1 species